UUUUUUUCUUGUGUGUGUGUGUGUGUGUGUGUGUAUGUUUAUAGGCUCUAUGGUGAAUUGUGAGUAUGUAAGGCAUACACCUGCGCUUCCCCAAGCAAAAGUCAGCAAGAUGCUCUAUAUUUUCCCUAUUAUUGACCAUUCUCUACUUUACUUUCUUGAAACAAAGUUUUUCAUGGAACUACAAGUGUGUCCUUUUUAGCUAGGCUAUCAGGACACAGAGAUCUCAUUAUCUGCUUUCUCCCUUUCUUGGUAGAAAGUGAGUUACAAGCAUGGACAUGGCCAGCUUCUCACAGGCAUGAAAGCAAUUCAGAUUCUAAUCAUCAUGCUUGCUGAGAAAAUGUCCAUGUCCACUAAGGCACUUCUCCAGCCCCCAGAAAUUUAUCUAACUAUCAAAACCAGAUAUGGUGAGCAACCAAGUUGAGACUCAUUCUGAUGCAAAUUCCUCACAGAGUUGACUCUAACAUAAAAAAGUUACAUGAUUCUGAAAUAAAAUAAUGGGACCAGCAUAGGCUAGAAAUUCAUUCAUGGGUAGAAAUAGGCAAGAAGAAAGAAGAAAUAUGGUUAAAAAUAUUAGCUUGCUUGGUCAGAUGUAGAAUCACUAAGGAGACAAUCCUAUAAAAAUAUCUGUGAGAGAUUAUUUCUAUUUUAGAUUUGUGUCUGUGUAUUCCUGUGAGAGAUUGGUUUGAUAGAAUAAUUGAGUUGAGAAUACUUUCUUUAUUAGUAAGUGGUACCAUUGUAACUUGGGUACUGGACUGCAUCAAAAGAAGACCAUGUAUACCUGGACUAUGUAUCUCUUACUGCUUCCUAACUAGGGAUGAUAGAUGAUUAGUUCUUUAAAGAUCCUGUUGCUAAAACCCUCCUGCUAUGGUAG
rnacentral:lncRNA from 1 species